rnacentral:rRNA from 1 species
GGCCUACCAUGGUGGUAACGGGUAACGGGGUGUUAGGGCACGACACCGGAGAGGGAGCCUGAGAAACGGCUACCACAUCCAAGGAUGGCAGCAGGCGUGCAAAUUACCCAAUCCCGACACGGGGAGGUAGUGACAAUAAAUAACAAUACGGGGUUCUUUUGGAUCUCGUAAUUGGAAUGAGUACAAUUUAAAUCUCUUAACGAGGAACAAUUGGAGGGCAAGUCUGGUGCCAGCAGCCGCGGUAAUUCCAGCUCCAAUAGCGUAUAUUAAAGUUGUUGCAGAUAAAAAGCUCGUAGUUGAAUUUCGGGGUCAGUAGGUUGGUCGUGCCACUGGUAUGCACUGGUCUCACUGAUUCCUCCUUCCUGAUGAACCGUAAUGCCAUUAAUUUGGUGUUGCGGGGAAUCUAGACUGUUACUUUGAAAAAAUUAGAGUGUUUAAAGCAGGCUAACGCUUGAAUACAUUAGCAUGGAAUAAUGAAAUAGGACGAUCGAUCCUAUUUUGUUGGUUUCUAGGAUUGACGUAAUGAUUAAUAGGGAUAGUUGGGGGCAUUAGUAUUCAAUUGUCAGAGGUGAAAUUCUUGGAUUUAUUGAAGACUAACUACUGCGAAAGCAUUUGCCAAGGAUGUUUUCAUUAAUCAAGAACGAAAGUUAGGGGAUCGAAGACGAUCAGAUACCGUCGUAGUCUUAACCAUAAACUAUGCCGACUAGGGAUCGGAUGAUGUUAAUUUUUUAAUGACUCAUUCGGCGCCUUACGGGAAACCAAAGUGUUUGGGUUC